CCUACGGGGGGCUGCAGUGGGGAAUAUUGGACAAUGGGGGGAACCCUGAUCCAGCCAUGCCGCGUGUGUGAAGAAGGCCCUCGGGUUGUAAAGCACUUUCAGUGAGGAAGAACGCCUGGUGGUUAAUACCCAUCAGGAAAGACAUCACUCACAGAAGAAGCACCGGCUAACUCCGUGCCAGCAGCCGCGGUAAUACGGAGGGUGCGAGCGUUAAUCGGAAUUACUGGGCGUAAAGCGCGCGUAGGUGGCUUGAUAAGCCGGUUGUGAAAGCCCCGGGAUCAACCUGGGAACGGCAUCCGGAACUGUCAAGCUAGAGUGCAGGAGAGGAAGGUAGAAUUACCGGUGUAGCGGUGAAAUGCGUAGAGAUCGGGAGGAAUACCAGUGGCGAAGGCGGCCUUCUGGACUGACACUGACACUGAGGUGCGAAAGCGUGGGUAGCAAACAGGAUUAGAUACCCUUGUAGUC
rnacentral:rRNA from 1 species